rnacentral:rRNA from 1 species
UUCGGAAUUACUGGGCGUAAAGGGCUCGUAGGCGGCCAACUAAGUCGGAUGUGAAAUCCCCAAGCUUAACUUGGGAACUGCAUCCGAUACUGGAUGGCUUGAAUCCGGGAGAGGGAUGCAGAAUUCCAGGUGUAGCGGUGAAAUGCGUAGAUAUCUGGAGGAAUACCGGUGGCGAAGGCGGCAUCCUGGACCGGCAUUGACGCUGAGGAGCGAAAGCUAGGGGAGCAAACGGG